rnacentral:rRNA from 1 species
GCCCUUACUCCUCGGGAGCAGCAGUUGGAAUAUUUGCAAUGGGGGAAACCCUGACGCAGGACGCCGCUGGGUGAUGAAGGCUUCGGGUCGUAAAGCCCUUCAGGCAGGACGAAUGUCGAUUGGGUUAAUAGCCUAGUCGGUUGACGGUACUUCCAGAGGAAGCCCCGGCUAACUCCGUGCCAGCAGCCGCGGUAAUACGGGGGGGGCAAGCGUUGUUCGGAUUUAUUGGGCGUAAAGGGCGUGUAGGCGGCCGAAUAAGUCAGAUGUGAAAGCCCUUGGCUUAACCAGGGAAGUGCGUCUGAUACUGUUUGGCUUGAGUGCGGGAGAGGAGAGUGGAAUUCCCGGUGUAGCGGUGAAAUGCGUAGAUAUCGGGAAGAACACCGGUGGCGAAGGCGGCUCUCUGGACCGUUACUGACGCUGAGACGCGAAAGCUAGGGGAGCAAACGGGAUUAGAUACCCCGGUAGUCCUAGCCGUAAACGAUGGGCACUAGGUGUAGGGGGUGUCGACCCCUCCUGUGCCGCAGCUAACGCAUUAAGUGCGCCGCCUGGGGAGUAUGGUCGCAAGGCUG